GAGUUUGAUCGUGGCUCAGAUUGAACGCUGGCGGCAUGCCUUACACAUGCAAGUCGAACGGCAGCAUGAUCUAGCUUGCUAGAUUGAUGGCGAGUGGCGAACGGGUGAGUAAUACAUCGGAACGUGCCCUGUAGUGGGGAUAACUAGUCGAAAGAUUAGCUAAUACCGCAUACGACCUGAGGGUGAAAGUGGGGGACCGCAAGGCCUCAUGCUAUAGGAGCGGCCGAUGUCUGAUUAGCUAGUUGGUGGGGUAAAGGCCCACCAAGGCGACGAUCAGUAGCUGGUCUGAGAGGACGAUCAGCCACACUGGGACUGAGACACGGCCCAGACUCCUACGGGAGGCAGCAGUGGGGAAUUUGGACAAUGGGCGAAUGCCUGAUCCAGCAAUGCCGCGUGUGUGAAGAAGGCCUC
rnacentral:rRNA from 1 species